rnacentral:rRNA from 1 species
GAUGAACGCUGGCGGCGUGCCUAAUACAUGCAAGUCGAGCGAACGGACGAGAAGCUUGCUUCUCUGAUGUUAGCGGCGGGCGGGUGAGUAACACGUGGAUAACCUACCUAUAAGACUGGGAUAACUUCGGGAAACCGUAGCUAAUACCGGAUAAUAUUUUGAACCGCAUGGUUCAAAAGUGAAAGACGGUCUUGCUGUCACUUAUAGAUGGAUCCGCGCUGCAUUAGCUAGUUGGUAAGGUAACGGCUUACCAAGGCAACGAUGCAUAGCCGACCUGAGAGGGUGAUCGGCCACACUGGAACUGAGACACGGUCCAGACUCCUACGGGAGGCAGCAGUAGGGAAUCUUCCGCAAUGGGCGAAAGCCUGACGGAGCAACGCCGCGUGAGUGAUGAAGGUCUUCUGAUCGUAAAACUCUGUUAUUAGGGAAGAACAUAUGUGUAAGUAACUGUGCACAUCUUGACGGUACCUAAUCAGAAAGCCACGGCUAACUACGUG